UUUAACAUUGAGUUGUCUGCCAGUUGGCCAAUCACGCGCUUUGCUUCAGGCUAGCACACAACAUGGCUGAGGGGACUUCACUGAUGCCUGUUUUACUGGAGAUUCCGAUGUGUUGUUCCGUGGAAUAUAUGCCGUGGAAACUUGCAGCAAGGUAAUUGUAUUUGGUGAGAAAAGCAUUAAAAAGGCUGAAGAAUGUGCUGCUAAGUGGAUUGAAGUAGAAGAAAGCCUUGAAAGCAAAGUUGCUGCAGAGGUGCUCCAACACAAAGAAGGCAGCCAGGAAUCAACUCUAACUGAAAGGAGGCAGCAGUGUAUCCCGGGUUAUCAUGCAGAGUGCUUCUGCAACAUAACAACAAUAAAUCGAGCGAUAGCAAAGUCUAGAAGGAAGAAAGUUCAAGACGCUGAAAAGCCUGAAGCAGGUGAAUCACCUCAAGAGGCAGUUCCUGAUGGUGAAGCAGAUGAGCCGGCCCCAAAGAGACUGCUUCGAUCCAUGACAAGUCAUAGUCAACAAACAGCAACUGUCGAGCACACUGACCGUAGGCAUGUCCUACCAGCGCAUUGCAUCAUUUGUAAAUGUUCAAAGUACACAAAAUAAAUAAAUUGUGGAAAAAAAUGAUUAUAUAAAGUUUUAUUUUAAUGUGGAUCGUUUCACUGUUUAUUUGGUCAAAUUAUUUAAACAAUGAGUGAAUUACUUAUGAUAAUGGCGUGCCGGUGAAUGACUGCGACAAUCCACCCACCGAUCCACACAUACAUACAUACGCACACUUCCAUGCAUGCAAACACACACAUACAUGCACACAUAAAUCCGCACACACAUAAAUCCGCACACACACACAUCCAUUCACACAGACAUACAUGUACAUAUCCAAACAUACAUGCACACAUACAUACAUCCACAGAUACAUGUUUGAAAGGCACACACAGACAAGCACACAAACUAGAGAUAAACAAUGCAACACUUUUAGGGUUCUUUUAGGUUAAAGGUAAUAGCCCUCAUUUGCAAAGGCACCAUCGGG